AUGGGCCCCACAUGCCAUUUGAAUUUCACUAUAUAUACAAAGUGUUGCCGCUGGGAGUUACUACCUAGCGCUCACGACUCAGAUCCGAUCCAAAGUCCGCAAAGCACCACACAGGAUUCAUUCACUCUAGACGAAAAACAUGGGUCGUGGAGUCAGCAGUGGAGGGGGAGAGAGUUCUUUGGGAUAUCUUUUUGGAGGUGGAGAAGAAAUUAAAAAACCGGCCCCAAAGAAGGUUGAUGCUCCUCAGAACCAGGCACCAGUUCCAAGCACUGAACCACCUUCUCAGAAGCCUACUGCUCCAACAACACCUGCAGAAGUCAAUAAGCAGACUCCAGCAGGCGUUCCUGGGAACACUUCAAACAACUAUUUCCGAGCUGAUGGCCAGAACUGUGGCAACUUCCUCACGGAUCGGCCAUCGACAAAGGUGCAUGCAGCUCCUGGUGGUGGAUCAUCCCUAGAUUACCUUUUUGGAGGCGGUAGCAAUUAAGGCCCGGGGCCAUUGAUGUUGGAAUCGUCAGUUUGGUUUGGUCCCUCUGUAAUAUGGACCCUCUGUAGAUGGUUUCUUUCAAAUAUGCUGUAAUAUUCUAGUACUUCCUGCGUCGGGGAAUAAUGUGUUGGUUCUGUGCUUUGCUACUCUGUUAAACUUCCAAAUUUAAGUUGGUUAAUGAUAUUGGUUCACAAUUGCACUGCGUAUUA